UUUCAGGUGGCUGAGUGUUAGAAGCGUUGGACUUUUAAUUUAAUUACGGUGUGUUUAGCACCCCUGGAAG
rnacentral:tRNA from 1 species